rnacentral:tRNA from 1 species
CGGGGCGUAGCGCAGCCUGGUAGCGCAUCUGCCUGGGGGCAGAGGGUCGUCGGUUCGAAUCCGGCCGCCCCGACCA